AGUGCGAAUGAACACUUCCGAGAGGGAGGUGGGGCAGACAGCCGGCGGCAGGAAUCACUGCAGCCAUCUCCGGGUCACUCCAGAGCUGGCUGUACUUCAGCGAGAGAUAAAGAGACCUCUGGGAACUAUUUGCGACAUUUUCAAGAGGUUCUGAAAUCCUUUAAGGAGCAGCAGCAAACAAUCUGGAAAAAUGGCAUGAUUUGAUUGUAGCAGUAAUAGAGCUCCUGGAAUCCAGCAUCACAGCCUUGUCUGCUACUGGCCUACUCACAGCCUCCAAAGGCACUAAUUACAUCCUCUGGAUUGAUUCAUGGAUUUCACUGAGGUUCAGCACCGUGUUUCUUCCAGGAAAGGGCAAUUUCCACUCAAACAGGUACCUGAGAGGAAGGGGGAGAACUGGCCAUCCAUUUGUGAAGGACAGUAUAAGAGAGCUCAUCUAAUGGGGACUGAGCUUUGCCCCAUGGAGGCUGGUGCUCUCUGCUGCUCCCCAGAUGUCUCAGUUCCAUCAGUCACAGUGAAGUAACGUGAUGUACCCGCCUGUGUCUCCAAGAAGUGACAAAGUCUGUCAGCGUGUGCUUCGGCUUCUGACAAUGACACAUGUUCUUCAGGUCUGCUGACUUCACCAAGGGCAUGAGCAUCACUUGGAUUUUCUCCCAAAGAGGCUACAGCUAGAAGUUUGACCACAAGGUCACCAGGGCUUAACUCGCCCCAUGGCUACUAAUGUUUCAUUGGCAGAAACCCAAUCUUUGAUGCAAUCUCUUCCAGUCCUACCAGGCCAUACACUCGUCUAUGGCUUAACUGUUGUUCUACCACAAGCUUUGCCAAAUCCUCCACCUCCAAGAUACCAUCUUCAUGGACAAGCACAGAUGUCUGAAGCAUUAAAAGCCAUUGAUGAAGUGAAGAUUGUCCGGCACCACAGACAUGGAGAUCCUCCUCCCCACACAGGGCAGCAAUAACAUCCCCUUGGGUUUUGGGUUCAA